rnacentral:rRNA from 1 species
GUGUCAGCAGCCGCGGUAAUACGUAGGUGGCAAGCGUUGUCCGGAUUUACUGGGCGUAAAGGGAGCGUAGGUGGAUAUUUAAGUGGGAUGUGAAAUACUCGGGCUUAACCUGGGUGCUGCAUUCCAAACUGGAUAUCUAGAGUGCAGGAGAGGAAAGUAGAAUUCCUAGUGUAGCGGUGAAAUGCGUAGAGAUUAGGAAGAAUACCAGUGGCGAAGGCGACUUUCUGGACUGUAACUGACGCUGAGGCUCGAAAGCGUGGGGAGCAAACAGGAUUAGAUACCCUGGUAGUCCACGCCGUAAACGAUGGGUACUAGGUGUGGGGGUAUCGACUCCCCCU